AUUGAACGCUGGCGGCAUGCCUUACACAUGCAAGUCGAACGGCAGCACGGGUGCUUGCACCUGGUGGCGAGUGGCGAACGGGUGAGUAAUACAUCGGAACGUACCUUAUCGUGGGGGAUAACGCAGCGAAAGCUGUGCUAAUACCGCAUACGCCCUGAGGGGGAAAGCGGGGGAUCGCAAGACCUCGCGCGAUUAGAGCGGCCGAUGCCUGAUUAGCUAGUUGGUGGGGUAAAAGCCCACCAAGGCGACGAUCAGUAGCUGGUCUGAGAGGACGAUCAGCCACACUGGGACUGAGACACGGCCCAGACUCCUACGGGAGGCAGCAGUGGGGAAUUUUGGACAAUGGGGGCAACCCUGAUCCAGCAAUGCCGCGUGAGUGAAGAAGGCCUUCGGGUUGUAAAGCUCUUUUGUCAGGGAAGAAACACCGGCUCUAACACAGUCCGGGAAUGACGGUACCUGAAGAAUAAGCACCGGCUAACUACGUGCCAGCAGCCGCCGCAG
rnacentral:rRNA from 1 species